rnacentral:misc_RNA from 1 species
AUUAGCCCAAAAUCACAGAACCAGUGAUUGGAUGUGAGAAACUCAACCAAAAAGUGGGAUUCUCCGGUGAAAGGGAUUGUUCAGCGGCGGAGACUGCAAGAACGAGGGAAGGGUGAGGAGUACAGGACGGGAAAACAGCUUGUAACUCACAGAAAGCUUCGUGAAAAGGAGAAGCUUCGAAUGGGGUCGCCGGCAGAUCAGAGAAAAGGGGAAGAAGAGAUUGUGGAAGUUUUGAAUUGUAGAGAUUGGAGAA